GGGGAAUAAUCGGAGGUUUAUUCUUACUGUCCUUGUGCUCGGGGAGUCAGCCGCAGUCCCUGGUGACCGGCUCACAUAUCCUCAUGUGGCUAGCAACACCCACCUACCAUGGCAGUACAGGAGAACGCUUAACUCACUGUAAUCUCCAAUGCCUAAGUGCAAACGAUUCUCUCGCCUCAGCCUCCGAAGUAGCUAGGACUACAAGUAUGCACCACCAUGCCUGGCUAAUUUCUUUUACAGAGAUGGAGGUCUUGCUAUGUUGCCUAGGUUUCGAACCCCUGGCCUCAAUCAAGCCUCCCACUUUGGCCUCCCAGAACCCUGGGAUUGCAGGGGUGAGCCACCGCAUCUGGCAGAGAAUGCAUUCUUUUACAAAAAUGCCAACUCACCUCAAAGAAAAGUUGAGUGAAGAAGGAUGAGAAAUUGUGACUUUAUCUUAUUUACUUUGGUCCUGCUCCAAGGAAGAUGACAGACUGAGGCCCGCAUAAGGAGGGAGUCCCACAUGGACUUGGGAGUGUCAUCACCAUCUCCUUGGGGCAUGCAGAGAGCGGUCACCAUCUCUUGACCUCUCUCCUCAGCAUGCUCCCCACUUCCCUACUCUACUUCCUUGUGGUUUCCUUCCUUUGUGCCCUCAGUCUAGUGUCCUUACCCCUGUCCUGGAGACCCCAUCUCUUUUCUCCAGUACAUAGUGCCCCUCCUCGGUCCCUUCCUGCACAUUCCACUCAGCUGGCACUAUCGCUUUCCUUGGCCCAGCUUCGCCAGCUCUGAAAAAGCAAGGGGUGAGGUGCAGUCCAUCAGAUGGAAGAGAUGAUAUAAUUGAUGAUCAGAUCCAGGGCAGGUGCCCAGCAGUAACAACUGUGGCAAAUUUCUACAUAAGCUAGCUGAGAAACAAGCUAAUAGAAUGAGCUUAUUUCCCAGUGACAAUGCAAUCUAGUGUUCUAUGACCGGCUCCUUGCAAAACAAUAACCCUGGCAUUAUGACAAGAUUCACAUUAACUGUGCAGGGCCCUGUCUUGACUACCCAGGUGGCUAGCACCUACUUGGAUAAGAAUGUCCUGAGCUUCAAAUCUCUUCCCUGAUAAAAAGAGGGCUGCUGCUCUCAAGGAACUUCAGUCAAGGGGAGUGGGGGAAGACAGUCCCACACACAGACAAAAAACUAGGGGGUGAAAGGCCAAUGAGUGGUGGGAAGGAAAGGGAAAGAAGCUUCCAGAAGUAAGUGCUGAAUGGGAGAUUAAACUUGGCUGGGGGCCACGGUGGAGCACAGGUGUAAUGGAGGGUGGGGCCUCUUUCAAACCUCACUCGUGGCUGUGUGCACGCGUGUCCGUUCCCACUGGAGUGGCGGUGCUUUCUUGUGGCAGGGGAUGGGUUGCUUCCCUCCGAAGUCUUCGCUAGAACUCCCUCCUCCUCCUGCUUCCUUUCACCUGUUCGUUCCAAACAUACAUUGAGCUGCACGUUCUGGGUUCCCUCACGAAGGAGAUUUCAGGUCUAUGCCCACUUGCCACGAUUUUACUUUACUUGGUUCCCAGUUCUACUCCUUUCCCUGAGCUUCACAGUGUUGAGAAAAAAAGCCCUCAGCCUCCCCGAGUCCCUCAGGCCACGCACCCUCUCACUUUGCUAAUUUCCAACCACUCGCUGCUGAGCAGGCUGGAGCACGCCCGCUUCGGACGCCCCGAAACACCCUCGGGCGCAUGCUCAGUAACUCCCCCACGCCCCUACCCGGGCGCAUGCUCAGUAACUCCCCCACGCCCCUACCUGGGCGCAUGCUCAGUAACUCCCCCACGCCCCUACCCGGGCGCAUGCUCAGUAACUCCCCCUACCCCGCCCGUCCCACCACUGCUGCCCUUCGCCGCCGCCCCCGGCAGUGCUCGCUCUCUCUAGGCCCCAUGAAAAGACAGAAGCUGAUUGAGGUCCCAGCUUGGUAACAGUUUGAAGAGUUGCAGGACUGGCUGGAUGAGUACUGGCUGCAGCAAAUCAGGCUGCCAGGAUUCUUUAUGGCUGUUUCUGCUUCCACUACAGCUGAGUCAGAAAGGUCGCUGCCCCGUGGUGGCACUAGACGCAGUGGACCUGGCAAGCAAAUGUUUCCGCUAUUAGCUCUCAGCAACAGAGACUCAUUUAUGGUCACCUUGGAAAUCUGGGCUUAUCGAUCUACAGCCCAAGUCUGCUGAGAAGCUGGAGCUUACUAAAGGGGAAACCUGAGAGCUGUUCAAGCCCCAAAUAUUUUCCACUUCUGCGUCACCUCUGCUGUCUGUUAGCAGAGUGGAGGAGAAAAUACACAGCACAAACAACGUGAAAAAAUAGUUACUCUAUUCAUUAAAAGCUGUAACUUCCAGAUUGGACUUGAGAAGCAAUUAAGCAACAGAGGAACCUCAUCUACUAUCUGUAUUCAGGCAUGCUCAUGAGAACACGCUGCUCCAGCUGGACUUAGAGGAACCCGGUGCAUCACAGGCAUUCCUGACAGAGUCUCGUGGUCCUGCUGGUCCACUCAGUGGUACUCAGUCCUCCUCAUUCUCGGGGAUAGGUUCCAAGACCCCCAGGGGAUGCCUGAAACUGCGGAUGGUACCGAACCCUACAUAUAUUAUGUUUUUUUCCUAUACAUACAUACCUAUGAUAAAGCUUAAUUUACAAAUUAGAUAGAGUAAGAGAUUAACAACAAUUACAGCAAUAUACUGAAAUAAAAGUUAUGUGAAUGUGGUCUCUCUCUCUCUCUCUGAAUAUCAUAUUGUAAGUAAUACUUUCAAACCAUGGGUAACUAAAGCAGCUGAAAGUGAUACCUUGGAUCAGGCAGGGCCACUGUCCUGGCUCCCUCUUCCCCACUAGCGCCUUUCUUCCACGUAUAUAGUCAAGACAAGAUUUAAGUGGUGUUUUUCCAUAACGCCUCCCACAAAUGCUCCAGCCUGAAACUGAUUUCUCUUUUCUGAUCUUUAUAGUCCUGUAGUUAGUCAUUCUUAAAGUUCUGUGCAUAUGCUGCAUUCUAUUAUUCAGCCAUGCAGGGCUAUGUCCUGUCAUUAAGAACAGAGGAACAAGCCAGAUCUCUGUAGUCCCAUAACUAAUAUCAUGCCUGGAAUAUAGUGAGUGCUCUUCAAACAUUUCAUAGGUCCUUUUAGAGGUCCUGGGGCAUAGUCAACUUUGGAAGCAUUCAACCAUAAUGAAUUUUAAAUAAAAAUAUAUGAAAAAAAAUUUUUUUAAGCCCCCAAUCUCUGAGCCCAGGAAUUCAAGACCAGCCUAGACGGCAUAGUGAGACCCUGUCUCCACAAAAAAUAAAAAAUAGGGCCGGGCACGGUGGUAUAUGCCUGUAAUCCCAGCACUUUGGGAGACCAAGGCAGGUGGAUCAUUUGAGGUCAGGAGUUCAAGAUCAGCCUGGCCAACAUGGUGAAACCCCAUUUCUACCAAAAAUACAAAAAUUAGCCAGAUGUGGUGGCACACGUCUGUAGUCCCAGCUACUUGGGAGGCUCAGGGAGGAGAAUCUCUUGAGCCUGGGAAGUGGAGGUUGCAGUGAGCUGAGAUUAUGCCACUGUACUCCAGCCUGGGCAACAGAGUGAGACCUUGUCUCAAAAUAAAAUAAAAUAAUAAAAUAAUUCCCCAAAUAUUUUUCUAGCCUUUUAAAAGAUACGUAUUAUGUACUGAAAAAACAACAACAACAACUAGUUUUUCUGUCAGAAUUGUUGUCAAAUACAGGAAACAAUUCAAAUAUCAAAACAUUAAUCAAGAUAAUCUGUGAGUAUGUUCACACACAUGCACAAAUACAAACACGCAAAGCCACACAAACAUCCUAUUACCAAGCGGCUGUGAUUCACUGCAGGGCACAGUGUGUCUCCUGUAUAUGCAGCAAAAUUGCGGACCUCUCGCAAAAGCCUGUGAAGGAGGAGAUAUCUCUAACCUCACAAAUGCUAGCAUUUUGAUGAGUUUUCACUGAAUUUAGCAAACUUUUAGUCUCCUUUAUCCCCAUCUGCCAAGUGAAGAUAUUCUUAUACUUAAUAUUCUUCUCUAAGGUUUUGAAUAGAAAGAAAUAUUGCUACACAUUUUUCUGAAGUCCUUUUCUCUUAUAGGUGAAAUGCCAUCACAUCCUUCAUACUCAUAUUUUUAGGACCAUAGGAGACCCAAUAUAUCUGUCUGUAUUGCAAUAAAUUACAAGGCUUUGACCAAAGACCCAGUUCCUAACUGACUGCUCUUGAAGCCAGCUCCACUGCAGAAUUAAGGAACAGAGAUGAGACUUGUCUGACAUGGGGAACUGUCACAGGAUAAUACCUUUGAAAAGCCUGGUUUUAGAACUUGCCUCUCUCAAUUUGAGGCAGUGUAUGUUUUUAAGUUUCUAAAAAUAAGAUAUUAUAAGAUUUGUAACAUUACAAUGACUGCCAAUGCAAAGAACCUCUGGGACUCUAGUGCAUCAGUGGAAUAUCAGCACAUUGAUGGACAUGUGGACUAUUUGGAUUCAGAAGACCUGGUUUGAGCUCAUCUCUGCUGCCAACUGUCUGUGUGACCUUAAGUAAAAUUAUCUCCUCUCUCUGAACCUCUGAUUCCUCUUUUGUAAAAUGAGGAAGAUGAUGAUACUUGUUUUACAACAAGUGAUUGUGAGGCACACGGGAUGCUAGCCACAAAAGCGUUUCAUAGUUGACGUGUUAGUUACUCAUUAGUAGUUCAAGUAGUGUUGCUCUGCUGCAGUGGUCCUCAAACUUCAGUGUGCAUCAGGAUCACCUGGAGGGCGGGUUAAACUGCACAUUGCUGAGCCACACCUCCAGAGAUUCCAAUUCAGCAGGUCUGGAGGGUGCCUGAGACUUUGUCUUUCUAGCAAGUUCUCAGGUGAUGCUGAAGCUGCUGGUCUAAGAUUGCACUUUGAGAACCACUGCUCUACUGAAAUUCCCAGCCAUUUUCCUUCUUACCUCAUGAUGAAUUCCUUAAAGCAUAACCUCAACUUGUUGUGAUGUCGAUAGAGUUUUGGAUCAGCAGGAAUUUCAGCCAAAAACACUUGG
rnacentral:lncRNA from 10 species